GCCAGGGUGGUGUAACGGCAGCAUGAGAGGUUGUGGCCCUCUCGGUCCGGGUUCGAGUCCCGGCCCUGGCC
rnacentral:tRNA from 1 species